rnacentral:rRNA from 1 species
UAAUAUGAGAGUUUGAUCUUGGCUCAGGAUGAACGCUGGCGGCGUGCCUAAUACAUGCAAGUCGAACGAACUUCCGUUAAUUGAUCAUGACGUGCUUGCACUGAAUGAGAUUUUAACACGAAGUGAGUGGCGGACGGGUGAGUAACACGUGGGUAACCUGCCCAGAAGCAGGGGAUAACACCUGGAAACAGAUGCUAAUACCGUAUAACAGAGAAAACCGCCUGGUUUUCUUUUAAAAGAUGGCUCUGCUAUCACUUCUGGAUGGACCCGCGGCGCAUUAGCUAGUUGGUGAGGUAACGGCUCACCAAGGCGAUGAUGCGUAGCCGACCUGAGAGGGUAAUCGGCCACAUUGGGACUGAGACACGGCCCAGACUACUACGGGAGGCAGCAGACGGGAAUCUUCCACAAUGGACGCCAGUCUGCGGGAGCAGCGCAGA